ACGUUUUUUUCAUAGAGAUUUAGAUUUAAGGUUAGAAGAAUUGUGGAAGUCGUGAGACUUCCCUUUUUUUCGCCUUGAGGUUGUCUUUACCGGUUUUUCCUCUUUAUGGAUACGGCCGUAAAAGAACAGAAAAGCCCUUUCAUGCGAAAGGGCUUUUC
rnacentral:sRNA from 1 species